rnacentral:rRNA from 1 species
UACAGAGGGGGCGAGCGUUGUUCGGAAUUACUGGGCGUAAAGGGCGCGUAGGCGGCCUGCUAAGUCGAACGUGAAAUCCCUGGGCUCAACCCAGGAACUGCGUCCGAUACUGGUUGGCUUGAAUCCGGGAGAGGGAUGUGGAAUUCCAGGUGUAGCGGUGAAAUGCGUAGAUAUCUGGAGGAACACCGGUGGCGAAGGCGACAUCCUGGACCGGUAU